rnacentral:rRNA from 1 species
UGGGGAAUAUUGGACAAUGGGCGAAAGCCUGAUCCAGCCAUGCCGCGUGUGUGAAGAAGGUCUUCGGAUUGUAAAGCACUUUAAGUUGGGAGGAAGGGCAGUAAGCGAAUACCUUGCUGUUUUGACGUUACCGACAGAAUAAGCACCGGCUAACUCUGUGCCAGCAGCCGCGGUAAUACAGAGGGUGCAAGCGUUAAUCGGAAUUACUGGGCGUAAAGCGCGCGUAGGUGGUUCGUUAAGUUGAAUGUGAAAGCCCCGGGCUCAACCUGGGAACUGCAUCCAAAACAGGCGAGCUAGAGUAGGGCAGAGGGUGGUGGAAUUUCCUGUGUAGCGGUGAAAUGCGUAGAUAUAGGAAGGAACACCAGGGGCGAAGGCGACCACCUGGGCUCAUACUGACACUGAGGUGCGAAAGCGUGGGGAGCAAACAGG